rnacentral:tRNA from 1 species
UCCCUGGUGGUCCAAAGGCUAAGACACUGACCUCCCAAUACAGAGGGCCCAAGUUCAAUCCCUGAUCAGGGAG